rnacentral:rRNA from 1 species
UACGUAGGGUGCGAGCGUUUGUCCGGAAUUAUUGGGCGUAAAGAGCUCGUAGGCGGUUUGUUGCGUCGGCUGUGAAAACCUGCGGCUUAACUGUGGGCUUGCAGUCGAUACGGGCAGACUUGAGUUCGGCAGGGGAGACUGGGAAUUCCUGGUGUAGCGGUGAAAUGCGCAGAUAUCAGAGGACACCGGUGCGAAGGCGGGAUCUCUGGGGCCGAAUGACUGACGUGAGGAGCGAAA